rnacentral:rRNA from 1 species
UACGUAGGGGGCAAGCGUUGUCCGGAUUCAUUGGGCGUAAAGAGCGUGUAGGCGGCCAGGUAGGUCGGUUGUGAAAUCCCGCGGCUCAACUGCGGGUCUGCAGUCGAUACGGGCAGGCUAGAGUUCAGUAGGGGAGACUGGAAUUCCUGGUGUAGCGGUGAAAUGCGCAGAUAUCAGGAGGAACACCGGUGGCGAAGGCGGGUCUCUGGGCCGAUACUGACGCUGAGGAGCGAAAGCGUGGGGAGCGAACAGG